AUGAGUUUUCAGUCCUGGAACCAUCCUGCGGCGGUGCAGCAUAUUGUGCGCAAUGAACAAGCCAUAGUCGACAACCUUACUGAAGAUAACGCGACAAGGGUGUUGGCUAGCAGAAGGACAGCAGAGGGCGAACAGUUGUACUUAGUCUAUGAUCAGGGUAGUGCUGGGACUAGUCCCCCAAAUAAGCUGCUCGUCAAGAAGUUCCACAAUGCGAACCCAGCGCUACAAGUAGACGGCAAUGUCAUGUACCGCUGCAACUCGGAGAUGUUCCUGUUAGCCAACAUUUCUCACAAAAACAUCAUCAAAGUUGUAGACCAUAUCCAGAGGGAAGACGCAAUCAUGCUCAUUUAUGAGUAUCCGGUUCAUGGAAGCCUUCGAUCCUGGCUGCACCAACCCAUGGAUGCCGGUCGGCACCUGAGCUGGCCGGACAGGAGGGGCAUCGCCAUUGGUGUGGCCAGAGGGCUCCGCCAGUUACACCACAGAUGCAACAAACUGUUUGUCCACCACAACAUCAACUCUGAAAACAUCUUGCUUGAUCAGAAUUUCAAGGCCGUGAUAGCCAGCUUUGGCGCUGCACAGGUUAACAUGGCGGGGCUCGGCCAACCCUUGCCAAUCACGGACCUGCGUCCUGGUAACUUUGGGUACGCAGCUCCAGAAUAUGGGUUGGGGAAAAACCAGCUGACGGAGAAGGUAGACAUUUACAGCUUUGGAGUGCUGAUGCUGGAGCUUGUC
rnacentral:rRNA from 1 species